UACACCACCAUGUUUAGCCAGUUGUAGAAAGGAGACUUUGUAUUCUGGAAGCUAGUCUUUGAUACAUAGGUGUGUACUGAAGGAGUAGGGAGCUUGAAAUGGGCUUUUUCAAAUAAAUUCAGUUGGCAAAGGGAACAACUGUCUCACCUAAAUAUUAUAUAAGGCUUAGAAUAUGGGGGGAAUCACUCCUGACCACACUCACACACACUCCCUGUUCACCAACCAAUCCAGCCCCACCCACCGGGUAGGAUGUCAUUAGUGACAUGCAGAUGGGGAAGAGGCAGCCGAGUCAGAGCAACUUCUCAAACUGAGGGAGGGGUGUGGUCAGGAAAGGUGAUAUCCCAGGUAUAUUCCAGCUGUUCAAAAGAGGACCCUCUCUCACUGCAGACUGCUGAGGGGGAAAUGUCCUCUUGCAGACCUGACUCUACAAUGCAUUCUAAGUUCUUCUUCUCUAUGAUGUUUUAUCUCUUAAUGGCAGGUGGUCAACUGGAUGACAGGGUCAUUCAACAUCCAAGAUACCUGGUGUCAAGGACGGAACAGUCUGUGAUCUUGGAAUGUGACCCCAUCUCUGGACACGUCAGUGCAGUCUGGUACCGUCAGAUACUGGGUCAAGGCCCUGAGAUGCUCUUUUCCUUCUAUAACAAGGGAGAGAGGGAUAAAGGAGAAAUCCCUAAUCGAUUCAGCGCUACACAGGACGACAAUUUCUACUUCACCCUGAACAUCAGUUCCUUGGAGCAGGGGGAUUCUGCUCUCUAUCUCUGUGCCAGCAGCAAAGACACAGUGCCACAGAGGCACCUCCCAUCUGUUCACAAAGCUGUUUGGCCCAAGCCCAGGGAGCAAUGAAAGGGGAGGCAGGAA